rnacentral:rRNA from 1 species
AUUGAACGCUGGCGGCAUGCUUUACACAUGCAAGUCGAACGGUAACAGGCCGCAAGGUGCUGACGAGUGGCGAACGGGUGAGUAAUGCAUCGGAACGUGCCCAGUCGUGGGGGAUAACGCAGCGAAAGCUGCGCUAAUACCGCAUACGAUCUCUGGAUGAAAGCGGGGGACCGAAAGGCCUCGCGCGAUUGGAGCGGCCGAUGUCAGAUUCGGUAGUUGGUGGGGUAAAGGCCCACCAAGCCAACGAUCUGUAGCUGGUCUGAGAGGACGACCAGCCACACUGGGACUGAGACACGGCCCAGACUCCUACGGGAGGCAGCAGUGGGGAAUUUUGGACAAUGGGCGCAAGCCUGAUCCAGCAAUGCCGCGUGCAGGAAGAAGGCCUUCGGGUUGUAAACUGCUUUUGUACGGAACGAAACGGUCCGGGUUAAUACCCUGGGCUAAUGACGGUACCGUAAGAAUAAGCACCGGCUAACUACGUGCCAGCCGCCGCGGUAAAAC